rnacentral:rRNA from 1 species
UGGGGAAUUUUGGACAAUGGGCGAAAGCCUGAUCCAGCAAUGCCGCGUGUGUGAAGAAGGCCUUCGGGUUGUAAAGCACUUUUGUCCGGAAAGAAAUCCUUGGCUCUAAUACAGUCGGGGGAUGACGGUACCGGAAGAAUAAGCACCGGCUAACUACGUGCCAGCAGCCGCGGUAAUACGUAGGGUGCAAGCGUUAAUCGGAAUUACUGGGCGUAAAGCGUGCGCAGGCGGUUUGCUAAGACCGAUGUGAAAUCCCCGGGCUCAACCUGGGAACUGCAUUGGUGACUGGCAGGCUAGAGUAUGGCAGAGGGGGGUAGAAUUCCACGUGUAGCAGUGAAAUGCGUAGAGAUGUGGAGGAAUACCGAUGGCGAAGGCAGCCCCCUGGCAAGUACUGACGCUCAUGCACGAAAGCGUGGGGAGCAAACAGGAUUAGAUGCCCUGGUAGUCCACGCCCUAAACGAUGUCAACUAGUUGUUGGGGAUUCAUUUCCUUAGUAACGUAGCUAACGCGUGAAGUUGACCGCCUGGGGAGUACGGUCGCAAGA